AGUGAACGCUGGCGGUAGGCCUAACACAUACAAGUCGAACGGCAGCACAGUAAGAGCUUGCUCUUACGGGUGGCGAGUGGUGGACGGGUGAGGAAUACAUCGGAAUCUACUUUUUCGUGGGGGAUAGCGUAGGGAAACUUACGCUAAUACCGCAUACGACCUACGGGUGAAAGCAGGGGAUCUUCGGACCUUGCGCGAUUGAAUGAGCCGAUGUCGGAUUAGCUAGUUGGCGGGGUAAAGGCCCACCAAGGCGACGAUCCGUAGCUGGUCUGAGAGGAUGAUCAGCCACACUGGAACUGAGACACGGUCCAGACUCCUACGGGAGGCAGCAGUGGGGAAUAUUGGACAAUGGGCGCAAGCCUGAUCCAGCCAUACUGCGUGGGUGAAGAAGGCCUUCGGGUUGUAAAGCCCUUUUGUUGGGAAAGAAAAGCAGCAGGUUAAUACCCCGCUGUUCUGACGGUACCCAAAGAAUAAGCACCGGCUAACUUCGUG
rnacentral:rRNA from 1 species